rnacentral:lncRNA from 1 species
UGGGUGUAGUCAUGAAUGAUAUUGAUCGUUGUUUGUAUUUUUUCUGCUCAGCAUUUAGGGUGUAGAAUAUCACGUGUAUAACCUGGCUCGAAAGUCUUUGAAUUAUUUUGGUACUCCAAUCCAAUUUCAAUGAACAAAUAAGAACGUCUUCUAUAAAACAGCUACUCCAAAACAGCUAAACCAGUUAGUACACAUACGAUCGCUAGACGACAAUGCUUCACCUAAUUUUACCCUAACAGGACCAGUAGUUUGCUCGAGUACAAGCUGCAACUGCACUAUGGCCAGUCUCAAUGCAUAUUUCAUAAGAGUGUCAUGCACAUUAAAUAGGGUGCCACAUAAGUGUCACAUAAGCAAAUUUGCUGACUUGGCAGGGUCAUUAAAUGAAGAAGUUUCAUCAGAUGAGAGAGAAGUUUCAUCCCUAUAAAAUUCAUAUGGCACGGUUACCUAGUUUAUAGUCUUGGUAACUGUGUCAUGAAACUAUGCAUUGAGACUUGGCUACGUAGCCAUCCAUCCACCGGGUCAACGGAGACACGGCCGCGCCCGCGCUCAUGAGCCCUCUUGGAAUCUACGCGCGCAGGUGCCGCAGUCCGCUCCGUGGGUGUGCGUUUUCUGUUCCGCCAGCACUCCUGCAACCUGCUCGAGCGGACGGGCGGCCCGCAGGCAGUGGCCGGUACCAACGUACCUACAAGCUGUCACGAACGAAUACGAGUCGGACUUAAGGUGCAGACGAAAAAACCAUCAGACCAAAUUUGAGGCUGAAAUUUUGCCUCUUUAGAAUUAGGUAUAGAUUUAGUAUUAGCUAUAGAUAUAGAUUAACUUUUUCAUCUUUGAUACUAUACCUCAUAGAUGUUUUGAUGCAAGAAUAAUAUUCUGAAGUAAACACCACAGAAACAUGCGAGGUAAUAUUCUAGUUGUUAUAUAAAGCGUUCGCGGCCCGCUUAGACACUCGGUGGCCUCUAAAAAAAAUAAAAAAAAUCGCACAUGAGUGUCGAAGCGGCCUCCAACAAAUGAGUUCCAAAUUCCAAAUAGAGUUGACAGCGAUUACACAUAUGACUCCGAACAACUUGCGAGGUGUGAGAGCACAACUGGAUCAAGUAAACCGAGAAAUGUAUGUCCGAGGUGUGAGAGCACAACUGGAUCAAGUAACCCGAGAAAUGUAUGUCCUUUGCACAUCAUCACAUCAUCACAAAGAUUAGUUAAGUAAUGCAGAUCCAUUCCCAUCAGAUAUGCUGACGAUGCUUUGUGUCCCAUGACUGAGUGGACGGAUCUUUUCCCCCGAUACACACAAGACACAAGAGAGCAACCCAUGCCAUUAUCUUUUUUUUUUUUACUAGAGGGAGGAUACAAUAGUUCCUAAAAAAAAGGGGGGGGG